rnacentral:lncRNA from 1 species
AAUAAAGCGGAAGAAUGAAAUGUAAUAACUUAAUAAUAAUACCGAUACAAAUCCAUAAACAAAAGCUACCCAGAACUAGUGUCAGAAUCUCACAGACUGUCCAGGAAUACUACAAAUAGGGGUUCGGAAGAUAAAUACAAAGCUGUUUCUGAAGUACAUAAAAGAAAUAGUAUGGAAAGAUAGAAGAAGAGCCAAUGCCUGCGGACGCCUGCAGGACUACCUCGGGUCACCUGAUGGACUGAAGGUAGCAACCUCACUGCGGUCCAAAAGCUGCAGCACCGGGAUCUAUACAUAGUGUAGAGUGUAGUAACAACACAACCGACCCCAUGUACUGGUAAGUGCCUAACCUAACCUCGGCGAAGAAGUGACGAGGCUAGGACAGGACUACCAAAUAAACUUGUGCAGUUAAAUCAUAUACAACAGAAAAAUAAAGGUAGAAAUUUAUAGCUAAGGAUAGGAGGGGAAAACAUGCUAUGGGUAACAACAAGUUACAACAGAAAACCAAUAGAUAAGUAUAAAGAACACCAUGAUUCAACUAUUAGUAAGAAUUGGGAAUCAAAGACAAGUGCACGACAUCACCCUUCAUGCUUUUACUCUCGUCCUCACCAUAAGAAUCAAUAUAAUCGGCACGACAUCACCCUUCAUGCUUUUACCUCACAUAAUCACGGCAUGGAAUUAUCCUUCGUGCAUUAUCACUCAUAUCGUGGCACGACAUUGUACAUCGUGCGACACGACAUCACCCUUUGUGCUUUUACCUCACAAUAUUGGCACGACAUCAGCCUUCAUGCAUUAACACUCUCAAAAUCAUGCACGACAUCACCCUUCGUGCUUUACACUCUUCCUCACCCAAGAAACAAUCACAAAUCAAUUUGGGCAAGGGAAUCAAUAAUAUCACAAUAAAAUCCUGGCAAGGGAACAAUAGUAUAACAACAAUAUCCCGCAAGGGAAACAAUAUCAUGAGUAAUGACAUCCCGACAACGGAGAUAAUAUCAUAAACCUCUUCUCUUUUCCACAUUUACUUCACAACUCAAUUCUCAACUUGAGACAAUGCUCUACAAUGUUCAAUUACCAAUAAUACUUCCACAAGUCUUGUUUAUUAAUAGAAAUCAUCAUAUAAAGUAUGCACAAUAUGAAACGGAAUCACAUUAAUCAUAGUAUAAGACUCACGGGCAUGCUUGACACUAACAUAUAGAUACUCGUCACCAUGCCUAUACAUCGUACUCAACAAUUAAAACAUAGCAAAUAAGACUCAACUCCUAAUCCCUCAAGCUAAGGUUAGACCAAAUACUUAUCUCAAAGCCACGAACACAAUCAAGCCUCAACUACCGCUUUACCUCUUGCUUCCACUUCCAAUUCGCUUAUAUCUAGUCACAAUUUACUUAAUAAUAUUAAUAAAUGCUAAAUGAGUCAAUUCUAAUGCAUGAAAAUAUGUUUUCCAAUGAUUUCCCCAAAAAGUCAAAAAUCGACCCCGGACCCGCUUGGUUCAAACCCGAAAAUCGGACCAAAACUCGAUUACUCAUUCACCCCCGAGCCAGGAUAUAUAAUUGGUUUUGGAAUCCGACCUCAAUUUGAGGUCUAAAUCCCCAAAUUUCAAUAUUCUUAGGUUUUACCCAAAAUUCCCAAUUCCACCAUGAAAAACCCUAGAUUCUAGGAUGAAAUAUUGUAAAAAAAAAAUUUAAUGAGUGAAAGAAAUGAGUUAAAGAUCACUUACUAGUGUUUUGGGGAAGAAAGAGUGUUUGGAAAAUCACCUCUUAUGUUUUAGGGUUUUAAAAAUUGAAAAAUAGCUGAAAAGUCCCGUUUAUAUUUACUCCUCUCAGACCCUCACCGCGGACCACAUAAAAAGGGCCACUGCCGCGGAGCUCCACCGCGGACCGUGAAAUAUCGAGCUCGGCCGCGAGUACAUAGCCUUACUCACCGCUGACCGCAUAAAUUCCACCGCGGUCAUGAAGACCCCACCGCGGGCCGCAAACCUUGGUUUCAGAGACCUGCAAUUUUCUCUGAACCUGCAACUGUUAUGUUCUAAGUCUAAAUGCAAUCCGAGGCCUAUCCAAAACUUACCCGAGCCCUCAGGGCUCCAAACUAAUCAUGCACGCAAGUCUUAAAACAUCAUACGGACCUGCUCGUGCAAUCAAAUCAUCAAAAUAACAUCAACAACUAUGAAUUAAACCUCAAUUCAUGAAAUCACUCAAGAACAUCAAAAUUACUAUUUCUCUACUAUAGGUCCGUUUUAUACCAAACCAACUCUGAUCUUUACCAAAUUUUACAGAUUUAUCUUAUUUAUUAUUUCAAACUUGUACCGAACUCCGGAACCAAGAUACGAGCCCGAUAACAUCAAGAAUUACAUCAAUUCACUUCUAAAAACCUUUAUAUUUUCCAGAAAAUAAUUUUUAAAAAAAAAAUCAUUUCUAGGGCUUGGGACCUCGAAAUUCGAUUCCGGGCAUACGCCAAGUUCCAAAUUUUACUACGGACCCUACGGGACUGCCCGAUCACAAGUCUGGGUCCGUUUACCAAGAAUGUUGACCAAAGUCAACUUUAUUCAAUUUUAAAAGCCAAUUUUCCUUAUUUUACUUAGUUUUUCACAUAAAUUCUUUUUGGAAACAUGCCCGGACUACGCACACAAUACGAGGUGAGACAAAAAGAGGUUUUCAAGGCCUCGAGACGUGGAAUUUCUCUCAAAAUGAGUGAUGACCUUAUGAAUCAUCACACUACGGUGUUCAUAAAUUAUUUUAACUUCCUAAAGUUUGAAGUUACCUGUGGAGGUCUCAAUUAUGGAUGUUAAUAUAUACAAGAAUACAUAACAACAUCAAAAUGAGUGUACAACUCCAGCGUUUGCUUAUCUUAAAGGUGUGUUUAAAAAUUAGUAUAACCAAAGCCCUAUAUGAACAUUACAAUAACAAUUACUUCCAAGAAAAAUCUUUCCAGCUCAAAGUUCCUUCUGUUUCACAUACACCCAUCUUCAUACCACUAUGUUUGGAUUCAAACUUUAAGAAUUAAUUGACUCUCUUAAUGAUUCAGAUGCGACUCAUAAAAUAUAUUUUUUAUAGACUUAACUUAAAGCUUGUAGCAUCGAAAUCACAAUUUUUUUAAUGCUCGGAGUCUCUCUAUAUUCAAUAUUUCAUGUUAACUUUAAUUUAAAAGAACUAGAGAGCGAAUUCGAAUAUUAGUCGGUAGAUCCCCUAAACAGAACAACAUGUAUCUAAUGAAACAAAAUAGAAUUACAUUUGAAUUUGUAUUAGACACAUGAGAAUUAUACACAUCAAUUCAUAUAAUGUAACAAUAGAUUAGAUGAAAUCAGUAAUCAACAAACAUUAAGUAACAAACAUUUCCAUGGAUUUUCAGCAUAUAUGUAACAAAAAUUGACCACACACUAAGUGAGAGAUUAAAGGAAUACCUAAUGCAGAAUCACAGGGAGAAUGCCAAAUAAGGCGAGAUGAAAAUGUAAGAAACUCAGCAACGAAGAUCCAACAGAAAUUAGCAUAUAGCAAUCAUAAAUUUGAGCUUUGACAGCUUGUAAAAAUCUAGGAAGAAAAGGAAUCAAGCUUUGAAAUCGGUCUUCAAAUCUUAACAUCCGGUUCUUCUUUUUGUUUUUUUUCCAGCUUUUGUUUUUCAUUUUUUUAGAAUUUUAGAUCUCUCUUUGAGUCCAGAGAGAAGUGAGAGGAGAAAGAGUGUGAGCAGGUAGGAGAGAAUGAAGAAGGAGACGGUGGCGGCUAAGGUUUUUGUUUUGGUUUUUGAGAGGGGGUCUGUUCGUUUUUUAGAGUGAGGAUGGGUGUCUAGGAUUUUAGUAAAGG